CCCGGUGCUUUUAGCGAGGAGGCCACACCGGUUCCCAUCCCGAACACCGAAGUUAAGCUCCUCAGCGCCGAUGAUACUCUUUAUGGGGAAAGUAGGUCGGUGCCGGAU
rnacentral:rRNA from 1 species